UGACGACAAGGAAAGCAGUGAACCAGGCUGCAUGGGAACAGAUGACACCUAUGAAGAGGAAUGGCUCGACCCAAACGACGUUUCCUUCCACCCAGAGCAGAGCAGUGAAGGGGACCGUUCAGUAAUCUUCAUGGAAGAACCUGCCACUGGGACUGCGGAUGAUACAAAAUAUAUUGUAUUUGAAUCGUGUCUCAGGCAAC